AGUAAAUCCCAGCCAAAUAUUUUUCGUGUGCCAGCAGGGUUUCUCUUUCAUUUGUUUUCUCUGCCCCUGGAGAGUGAAACCAUCCCCGGGUUGACCAGUUAGCUCCCGCUGCAUCCGUUGCUAUGGAACGAAAGUCCUCGUUCAACACAGUCGCUAGGGAAGCCUGAGUCAGAACCGUCAAGCUUCUGGUUCCGAUGUUCCAACACUCAGUUCCUCAUUACCCAGCUGAUCCCUCGUUCUGUACGAGGCUUGACGCCUUGGGGCUCCGCUGCCAACUCUCUUGUUUUGUGUCUUGGUAGCCUUGGGGAUUUUAAACAUUGCACCCUUUUCUCUUGCUCCUUAAUCAAAGAAUUGAAGUUCUCCACGGUUCUCAUCCGUGCCUCUGGGCAGGAAAGAUUAUAUCAAAAGGUCGUGGCCAUUCAGAUGUUUUCCUGAUCUCCUAUGUGGAUUUUGUCUUUAACGCAUUGUAAAGAGCCCCUCUCCUCUAGCGCACAGUCUCAGCUGUGAUGCCGGGUUUUUGGAGGGUCUUCCAGGAGGGCUCCGUGGGGAUGGCUUAGGCAGAGCAGGUGUGUGGAGACGAAGGUCUGGGAUACGAGUUAGGAUUUACACCUGUCUUCUGCUUUAUCCCUAGAAUCUAGACAAUUAAAAAAAAAUCUCAUUCUUCUCCUUUUCAUCCUCCCUAGCCUUCACUUCCUUUUAGCUCUCUGUUGAUGCAGUGGCUAGAGUUGCUCUUGCCAAUUCUCGGUCUCCCCAGCCUUGUUUCCCCCCGCCCCGCCCUCCUGCACACACUCGCAUUGUUGAGAUGGGCAUCCAGAACGGGCACAGCACGAAGUCCCCGUCCAACCUGGUGCCAAGUGGCAUUGCCAGUUCUGACAUUCAUUUCUCCCCAUGACACUCCUAAUUUUUUCCAUUUUGUCAUGACCCUCCAGAUACGCUCGGUCCUUUCAUGGGAACAUGCUUUUCCCCCGUGGAAUUCUCUUUCCCCAGCUGGAAUUGGGGGCGGGGGGAGGGAACUCGUUUGUUGAGCUGCCGCUGGGUUCCAGCACUGUCGUCCAUGUCUGUGUGUGUGUUAUAAAAACUUCAUGUUUCUCAGUAGCCCCUAAAAUACUUAUUUGUGGCCCUGUCACCAAUAUAUGGGAAAAUAGGUCAUUUAAAUAACCUUGCCUGAAAUGGCAUCAUGAGUAAGAAUCAACUCUCCGCAGCCAAGCUGGGGUGUCUCUGUUUCAUGAAAUCUCUCGCAGUUUUCUCAUAGCUCAUUGUUCUCAUUACUUUAUGCAUGUAUAUUUAUUUUUGAGUCUUGAGAAGGUGCUUUACACCAGGCACUGUGCUAGGUCCAGGGGCAGGAAUAAGAAUAUAUUCUUGCCCUCAGGGAGCUUUCAUUCUCACAGGGAGAUGGAUAAUACACCAUUGAACCAAUGACUACAGAAUCAGUGGGGUAAUCUCUGCAGGAGGGAUAAAUACAUAGGGCAAUAGCAGGUGACGCUACCUGGGAGGACCCUGCCUCCAGUCCAGGGCAUCAGGAAAUAGCUCUGUAAUUCCUCACCUGUGACUUUGAGAAAGCGCUGAGGUCAGUGCUAGAGAACGAGCGCUCUGGACACAGGGAGACGUUCAGAUGUCCUGGGGCAGGAAACGGUUGGGUGUGUUUGGGGAGGGAGUUACUCGUGUGGAAGUGGUGAACGUGACGUGCAAAGAUAGGUUGGUCCCAGAUUGUGUCAAACGACGAGGUCCCUUGGUGUCUUACUCGGAAAGCAAUGUAAAACCUUUGAAGGAUUUUUCGCAUGGCUGCUUUUGAGGUUUAAUGAACGUGCAAUAAACUGGAUGCUUUGGUAAGUUUGGCCAUGACGUGUGCACCCAGAAACUGUCGUCAUGCUCAAGACAAUGGGCUCAUCCAUCAUCGCCCAAGGUUUUUAUGGCCUUUUGUCACCCCCCCCAACCCCGCAGAACCUUUCUUGUCUGCACCUCAGAGAGCCACCGAUUUCCCUUUUGUUACUAUAGAAAUUGCUUUGCAUUUUCUAGUAUUUAGUGUAAACAGUGUUGGUAUCUUGGAUGUGUGAGGCAUGUACGUGUGUGUGUGUGGUGUGUAGGUUUUCCAUAGACACCUUUUACCAGGUUAAGGACAUCUUCUUGACUGAGAGGUUUUAUGGGCGAUAGGUACUAUCUUUUGUCAAAUGUUUGUUCUCAGUCUUUUGAGAAGCUUAUCUCUCAUUUUUUUUUUAGUCCAAAAACAUGUUUUCGACUAUUAAUUGAUGGGAAUGUUAAGCCAAGAUUACAUUCCUGCAAUAAUCCCUACUUGACUAUGAUUUUUUUAUCCUUUUUAUGUAUUGUUGGAUUAAGUUGGCUGAGAUUGUGUUUAGAAAGUUUGCACCUCGAACAAAGAACAAAUGCUGGAGAGGGUGUGGAGACAAAGGUACCCUCCUACACUGUUGGUGGGAAUGUAAACUGGUACAACCACUGUGGAAAACAGCAUGGAGGUACCUCAGAAAACUAAAUAUACAACUACCUUAUGACCCAGCAAUCCCACUCUUGGGCAUCUAUCCCGACAAAACUUGCACCAAAAAAUAUACAUGCACUCCUAUGUUUGUCGCAGCACUAUUCACAAUAGCCAAGACAUGGAGACAGCUUAAAUGUCCAAUGACAGAUGAUUGGAUUUAGAAGAUGUGGUAUAUAUACACAGUGGAAUACUACUCAGCCCUAAAAAGAACAUUUGCAUGUUCAUGCCAUUUGUAGCAACAUGGAUGAAACUAGAGACUCUUCUACGAAGUGAAGUAAGUCAGAAAGAGAAAGACAAAUACUGUAAGAUAUCACUUGUAUCUGGAAUCUAAUAGAUGGCCCAGAUGAAUCUAUCUACAGAAAAGAAAGAAACUCAUGGACUUGGAGAACGGACUCGUGGCUGCCGAGGGGGAGGGAGUGCGAUGGACGGGGAGUCUGGGGUUGGUUGAUGCGAACUCUUGCAUUGGGAGUGGAUAAGCCAUGAGAUCCUGCUGUACAGCACAGGGAACUGUAUCUAGUCACUUGUGAUGGAACAGGAUGGAGGAUAAUGGGAGAAAAAGUAUGUAUGUAUAUGUGUGACUGGGUCAUUUUGUUGUGUAGCAGAACUUGACGAACAUUGACUAUAACAGAAAAAAUAAAAAUCUUAAAAAAAAAUAAAGUAUAUCCCCUACCAAGG
rnacentral:lncRNA from 1 species